rnacentral:rRNA from 1 species
AUUGAACGCUGGCGGCAGGCCUAACACAUGCAAGUCGAACGGAGUGGCGGACGGGUGAGUAAUGCCUGGGAAACUGCCUGAUGGAGGGGGAUAACUACUGGAAACGGUAGCUAAUACCGUAUACUAUCAGUUGAGCCUAGGUCGGGUUCGUUCGUUGGUGGGGUAAGGGCCUACCAAGGCGAUGACCCGUAACUGGUCCGAGAGGAUGAUCAGUCACACUGGAACUGAAACACGGUCCAGACUCCUACGAGGGGCGGCAGUGGGGAAUAUUGGACAAUGGGCGAAAGCCUGAUCCAGCCAUGCCGCAUGUGUGAAGAAGGUCUUCGGAUUGUAAAGCACUUUAAGUUGGGAGGCGUUACCAACAGAGUAAGCACCGGCUAACUUCGUGCCAGCAGCCGCGGUAAUAC